rnacentral:tRNA from 2 species
GGCUCCUUAGCUCAACUGAAUAGAGCAUCUCACUACGGAUGAGAAGGUUUCAGGUUUGAAUCCUGAAGGGGUCA